rfam:Triticum urartu cultivar G1812 contig276096, whole genome shotgun sequence.
GGUGGCACAUUGAACAUCUAUCAUACACACAGAUGGAAACUUCCAUGUGUGGAUUAAUAAUCUUUGCUUAUCAUCUGAUGCCUUG